rnacentral:rRNA from 2 species
GGGGUGACUGCGUACCUUUUGUAUAAUGGGUCAGCGACUUAUAUUCUGUAGCAAGGUUAACCGUAUAGGGGAGCCGAAGGGAAACCGAGUCUUAACUGGGCGUUAAGUUGCAGGGUAUAGACCCGAAACCCGGUGAUCUAGCCAUGGGCAGGUUGAAGGUUGGGUAACACUAACUGGAGGACCGAACCGACUAAUGUUGAAAAAUUAGCGGAUGACCUGUGGCUGGGGGUGAAAGGCCAAUCAAACCGGGAGAUAGCUGGUUCUCCCCGAAAGCUAUUUAGGUAGCGCCUCGUGAACUCAUCUUCGGGGGUAGAGCACUGUUUCGGCUAGGGGGCCAUCCCGGCUUACCAACCCGAUGCAAACUACGAAUACCGAAGAAUGUUAUCACGGGAGACACACGGCGGGUGCUAACGUCCGUCGUGAAGAGGGAAACAACCCAGACCGCCAGCUAAGGUCCCAAAGUCAUGGUUAAGUGGGAAACGAUGUGGGAAGGCACAGACAGCCAGGAUGUUGGCUUAGAAGCAGCCAUCAUUUAAAGAAAGCGUAAUAGCUCACUGGUCGAGUCGGCCUGCGCGGAAGAUGUAACGGGGCUAAACCAUGCACCGAAGCUGCGGCAGCGACACUUAUGUGUUGUUGGGUAGGGGAGCGUUCUGUAAGCCGUUGAAGGUGUGCUGUGAGGCAUGCUGGAGGUAUCAGAAGUGCGAAUGCUGACAUAAGUAACGAUAAAGCGGGUGAAAAGCCCGCUCGCCGGAAGACCAAGGGUUCCUGUCCAACGUUAAUCGGGGCAGGGUGAGUCGACCCCUAAGGCGAGGCCGAAAGGCGUAGUCGAUGGGAAACAGGUUAAUAUUCCUGUACUUGGUGUUACUGCGAAGGGGGGACGGAGAAGGCUAUGUCAGCCGGGCGACGGUUGUCCCGGUUUAAGCAUGUAGGCGGAGGUUCCAGGUAAAUCCGGUACCU